GUGAAUCAUCGAAUUUUUGAACGCAUAUUGCACUCUCUGGUAUUCCGGAGAGUAUGCCUGUUUGAGGGUAAUUAAAAAUAAUAUUUAACCAAUUUUUUUGGUUAAAUGAUAUGAGUUUUGCGAGUUUAUAGCGGUAGUUUGAAAUAAAUGGUUAAGUCUCAUUUUAGUCGAGACGCUUAAUAAUAUUAUUUUGCGUGAUCUUCUUUAUGUGACUAUUAAGUUUUGACGCAUAGCAUUUGGGUUUGUUUGUGUUGUAUACAACUUUUUUGAAC
rnacentral:misc_RNA from 1 species